GGGGUUGUGGUUCAGUGAUAGAGCACUCGCCUUGCAUGUGAGAGACCCUGGGUUCGAUCCUCAGCACCACA
rnacentral:tRNA from 1 species